CUCAAAGAUUUAGAGAAUGUACUUUCCAGAAAGAAGGAAUAGCAAAUACGAAGGCCCUGAGGUAAGAAUGCACAUGGUGUUUUAAAGGAAUAACAUGUCAGCUGGUCUGGCUGAAAUGGAGUGAAAAUCAGAGAAAAGUAGCAGACAAGGUGGAACAGGAAACAGAUCAGAUAAGGGAGGGUCUUAUUGAUGGCAAACAGUUUAGGUUUGGGUAUUAAUGGGCUGGGAAACAAUUAGGAAAUAAUAAGGAAUAGGUUUGAUUUAAUUUAUGUUUGGAGAAAGAUCUCUCUGCCGUUCAUGUGAAAAAUAUUCUUCAAAGGCAAGAGUCAAUGACAGAUGUCAUUUAGGAAGCCAAGGCAGAGAUUAGGAAGGGAAUGAUGGUGGCUUGGCUUGAGGUCUUAGCUAUGCAGUUGGGUGAGAAGUGAUUAUAUUCUGGAUAGAUUUUGAGGGCAGAGCCAAUAGGUUUGUGGAUGGAUUGAAUAGGAACAAAGAGGGAAGGCAAGGCUGGAAUUGUCAGGGCUCCCCUGCAUUGCCACACAAAGUGAAGUCUGCCCGCCAGCAAUGAGGGCAUCCCAGGGGAGCUUGCUGGAAAUGCUAAAUCUCAGGCCCCAUCUCAGUUGAAUCAGCAUUUGGUGGAGUGAGGGCAAAUGUGAUGAUGGAAAUACAGAGCCAGCAAGGUUAUUGCAUGACAAAUUACAUUUUUGAAAAUUGGGUGGUAGAAUAUUAAUAAUCAGAGGGAGGUCUGAUAUUAAAAUCUAAUUGAAGUUGAAUUCAGACAGAAAACUUCAGCUCUUCCGCUUCUAACAUGAGCUCCUAAAGGCAACAUAGUUUUAAGAGGUCAGACAUCU
rnacentral:lncRNA from 1 species